rfam:Schistosoma mansoni, Puerto Rico, WGS project CABG01000000 data, contig: 0010
AUCCAGCUGACGAGCCCCAAACGGGGAGAAACGCGCGUCCUGGAU